rnacentral:lncRNA from 1 species
GAACGUGGUAUCCCACAUGACACCUUUUAAUGGUGUGAUUUAGUGGCUAAUCGGGUUCACCAGGUAACAGUAAUAGUUUGUUUUUAACUAAAUCAUCUUGACCUCACAUGCUAACGUUAUUUGACUCAGUGUAUCACGGUCAUGGUGUAGUUUGGAGAACUGUGAUAAUAUUUGAUGGUACCGUUUACUUGGCGUCAAUACGGGCUGAAGUGGAGAAGUUCACAGAUACUGGCUGACAAGUUUGUUGGUGAUGUGGACACCAAGGAACUUGAAGCUCUCAACCUGCUCCACUACAGCCCCGUUGAUGAGAAUGGG